GACGAACCGAGCGAACGUUGUUCGGAAUCACUGGGCUUAAAGGGCGCGUAGGCGGGUGCUCAAGUCCGUGGUGAAAUCCUCCGGCUCAACCGGAGAACUGCCAUGGAUACUGGGUGUCUCGAGGGUGAUAGGGGUAUGCGGAACUAUCGGUGGAGCGGUGAAAUGCGUUGAUAUCGAUAGGAACUCCGGUGGCGAAGGCGGCAUACUGGAUCACAUCUGACGCUGAGGCGCGAAGCCAGGGGAGCAAACGGG
rnacentral:rRNA from 1 species